GGUUGAGCACUGCCAAGAUGGCCUUCCGUUGUGAAAGUGCCUCGUCUCCAUCUCUUGUUUCUUGGAGAGCCACUUGUGCGUAAAAAAGAGCCAUGUCCUUCUUAAGACACAGCUGUGGCUUAGUCCUCAGUAUUAGGUAACAGUGCCAACAUCUCAUGUUCUAGCAGGCUGGACAUGCUGGCCUUGAAGAUUCGGAAAGCCGCCGCCAAACCACAUCCACUACCACUAGCUCUGGAGACCAUAAGGAAAGAUGGCAAACUCCCGGGGUUCUAGCAUCUGUGUUGUUUAAUGAUCUUUUUCUUGCAUGUCAACUUCCAUUAGCCCAGAAUGGAAGUGUCCAGAAGCUCCUGGAGGCCCUGGGUGCUCACCUGGUGCUGGGCACAAGGCGAGAACUAAAGUGAAAAGACAAAUUUUACAUUUUGAACAUUGACAAACAUACUGCUUUAAACUCAUUUAAAAUUCCAGUAAAUAACAUUGAAACACAAGAAAUGUUAUGGGAAUUUUCCUAAGCGUCAACCAUAGGCUAGCAAGGAGUAAAGGCCCACUUCCCUCAGACAUGGAAAAUGUGCACAUUCUGGAAUCUACACCACAGCAGCUCCCUCUCUGCAGCUGAGCCUGGGUUCUUCACAUCUUCCUCAUCCUCACUGUGACAAAUGAGAAAUGGCCAUUUUCUGGCAGCAUGCCUGAAGCCAUCUUUGGUGGUUAGAAGUAAAAAGAAAAAUAAGGUUUAGUAGUCUGUUCUGCUAGUUUUAAGGGCUUCAUAUGCUUCUCUGUAGAAUUUUAUUUCAAGUGGUUUAAUUUAAUGUAUCUUCUCUUUUAAAAAUUACAGAUCAUUGAAUAUGAAAAAAACAGACCCUGGGACAAAAUGAUACUGGGUUUAGUUGUGAUGGGACUUCUAACACAUUCAGAGUCAUGUUUAAGGAGCCUAUAGAAAUCCUGCCCAAUGUGUGCUACACAGCAUGUGCAACACUCAAAGGUCCGGAUUCCCACUAUGGCACAAAAGGGCUGAAGAAAGUUGUGCAUGAGACACCUGCCGCCAGCAAGACCGUCUUUCUUCUUCUUUAGUUCCCCUGGCAACAAUAAUGGCACUUCAAUAGAAGAUGGACAAAUACCAGAAAUAAUAUUUUAUACAUAAUUUAGCAUUAUAAUACAUCUUGGCUAAAUAGUACCUACCACACAAUCUAGACUCAGACAUAUAAAUAACUGGCCACAGAAAAAAGUUUGAGUAUCAAGAAUAUUUAUGAUUGGGCUGGGGAUUUAGCUCAGUGGUUCUGGCGCCUGCCUCGCAAGCACAAGUUCCUGAGUUCGAGCCCCAGUACCAGAAAAAAAAAAAAAUUUAUGAUUGUAAGAUAAGAAACAUUUUAGUUUCUUAGAAGAAAUAGAAAAAUGUUUAUUUAAAUCUCUGCAUGAUUUAAAGGCAUAUUUUCCACUUUUUUGUCACCUUAGGGGAAUAGAGGUAGGUUUGUGUAAAAAAAAUGCGGCUGUUUCAGCUGCUUCCUGUAUCAUUUCGUUGUCAACUGACUCAUGGUCUUUCAGUAGUUUUGGAAUUGAAAGAUUCUUGUUACACGUAGCCAGUCUGGUUUCUUUAUUUUUAAUUUUUGAAAGUAGAUGAGAUAGGUCAGUAUUCUUGCAGAAUUCCUAUUAAGUCAAAUAACUAAUUUCAGAAAAUUAGGAAAACUGGCUUUAUAUUUGAGAUUUAAAAAUAUCUGCUAGCUAACAUUUGGAAUAAUGCUAAAAAUAGGCCUAAUAAUGCCCAAGAAAAUUUUCAGUUUUUCUAUUCACAGAAAAGGAUAUUUUGUAAUAGUAUAGUAAUGCAGUACAUAGUAUAGUGUUCAAACUAAAUGGAUUUUGUAUACAUUCACAAUAAUGUGGUAUAUACAAAGUCUCUAAAGGUGUGACAUAAGCCUGGAUCUUUAUUUAUCAUUCAGCUGUAUCACCAUACCUGCCUGUCUGUCUGGGGUGCUGCUGAUGAGUCCCAAGACUGAGCUGAUGGUGGUGACUAAUGAUUGUUUAAAGAUACUGCUUCAACUGUGUGAUCAUCCCACAGAGCAAGAAAUGGAACACGGUUACUAACAUUUCUAACAGCUACUUUGAAAUUAUAAAGCUAUCCAACAGAGUCACUCCUGCCAAAAAGCUUUCUAUCACAUAGUUCUAUUCAAGAAGUAAAAUAUGUUUAAUAUUUGUGACCUCAUGAAUGUGACCAGCACAUCUAUAUUAGGAGGAAGUAGGAAAUACAUACAGUAGAGUGACAUUUAUACACUUUUAUAUACAGAUUUUUAAAAUACAACUUUUCCCUUGAAAGUGACUAUCCUAAAAAACUUGUGUAGUUUAAGCGUAAAAUAUAUCAGAUAUUUGUGGAUGAUAAAAAAAUUCUUUCAGAAUCAAGAGAAAUUUUGUAAAUAGGAAGUAAAAAUUUUUCAUCAAAAGUACUAUUUCAUUAUACAUUUUUAACAAGGUAGUAAGAUGUGUUGAUGGCCAUGGUCUCUUGAAAUUGAAGAAAAGGGAAAAUUUUCUGUCUCGUGUACCAUGUCCUUAUGGAUAUAACUCACUUUACGGGAAUAUCUAUGGAACGUGUAGGUCUGGUUAACUAAAGAUUAACUGGCAAACAUUCGGUAAUAACCAUUACCAAAAUACUUCAGCCUUUUAAAAUGUGGUAUGCCAGAGAUAAGUUAGAGAUUUUGGGGUUUGAGGCAUUUCACGUGCCUUCUGUGUUAUACUGAACACUUGUAACUGAAAGUAGCCAUAGAAGGUAUGUACUAGAAACAGCUCCACUGACAUCAGGAAAUCACCUGGAACUUUACAAAAAUAAAUGUAUGUUAUCCUUUGUUUAGUUUGUCAUUUGUCCUUCUAAAAGUUGAAUGUAAGACACCAUUGUGGAACAAAGGUUUUAGUUAAUUGGGGUUUGUUUUUAAUUUACAGAAGUAAUGAAACAAAAUAAUGCAUUACUUCUGCUGGAAACAAGUCAUAGGAACUGCAGCAGUGUAACAAUCAUCUCACGAUUGCUUAUUAGUAAUUACAGUAACCUGAAUGACUGCUAUGCAUCCGGCUGUGUGAUGUGUACUUUAUAUGCACUGAAACAGUGGUAUUAGGAUUAUUACAAUACCAGCUUUAUAGGCACAUUGUUUUAUUAUUUGGAGCUGUAAAAUUUUUACUUUGAUUUUAACUUUAAUCUUUGGAGACAAGGUCUUGUUAUGUAGUUCAGGCUGGCCUGAACUCGCUUGAUCCUCCUGCCAACAGCCUCCUAAGUGCUGGAAUUAACAGUCGUGCCAACAUGCCCACCUUUUAAAAUUUUCAUUAGUACAUGUUUUCAGUACAUAAUGAUUAUACUUGUGAGGAGUUGGUACAGGUUCAUAACACAUCUUCGUUUUUCAUCCCCUUCCUCUCCCCUCUCCCACUCCCUCCAUCUCUUGGUCCCCUUUUGCAAAAGAUCUCCCUAUCUCUUUUAUACUUUCGGUGUAUGAAAAACCUUUUGAUAUUUAAACUUAGAUGCCUGGUUUGUUUGACUUAACCUUAUGGGUUCAAGGUACAUCCAUUUUCUUACAAAUGGAGCAAAAAUUUUGGGGGGGCGGUACUGGGGAUCAAACUCAGGACCUUGCGCUUGCAAGGCAGGCAGCAGAACCAUUGAGCUAAAUCUCAGGCCCCAAAUGACACAAAUUUAUCUGCAGUGUGGUACUCCAUUAUGUAUAAAUACAUUUUUAAAACUCCACUUAUUGAUGGACAUUUAGGCCACGCCCAAGGUGCAUUAUAAGUUGUGCUGCUAUAAACAUGGGUAUGCAUGUAUCAUUGUAAUAUGUUUUUAACUCUGGGGAAGAUACCUAAAAGAAUAGCUGGGUUGGAUGGGAUUUCUCAUUUUGGGUUCUUUUGAGGAAUCUCCAUACUGAUUUCCAUUAAGUGGUUGUACUAGUCUACAUUCCCACCAACAAUGGAGAGGCGUUCCUCCACCUCCUGAAACCCCAUCAGCAGUUAUUUAUUUCUGGAUGAUAGCCAUUCUUUCUGGAGUAAGAUCUAAUCUGUUUUAAUUUGCAUUCCGUAAAAGGCCAGAGGAGAUGAACAUUUUUUUUUUCUGUAUUGGCCAUUUGUACUUCUGAGAAAUGUGUUUGUUUGGAUUUAUUGAUUGGAUCUUUUAGGAGUCUAAUUUUUAAUUCUUUACAUAUUUUAGAUAUUAGUCCUGAGGAGUAGCUGGCAAAAUUCCCAUUCUGUAGGUUGUCUCUUCACUGUUGGAUGUUUGCUUUGCUGUGUAGAAGCUUUUUGAUUUCAUAGAAUCCCAUUUGUCGAUUCUUGAUGUUAUUUUUUAGGCAACUGGGGUUCUGUUCAGAAAGAAUCUAUGACCACAAGAGUUUUACGUAUUUUAUUUGCCAGCAGGUUAAACUUUUCUGUUUUAACAUUUAGAUAUUUGAUCCAUUUUGAUUUUAGUUUAGUACAUAGAAAUAUGGGACUAGAUCCAAUCUGCGCGUGGAUAGCCAGUUUUCCGGCACCAUUUGUUAAGGAGGUGAUCUUUUCUCCAGUGUACAUCUUUGGCCCCUUUGUCAAAGACCAGGUAGCUGAGUGAAGUUAUUUCUGCAUGCUUAAUUUUGAUCCAUUGAUCCACAUGUCUGUUUUUGUACCUGUACCAUGGUGUUUUAUCACUGUAGCUUUGUAAUAUAACUUGAAAUCUGAGAUUGUGAUACCGCUUGCUUUGCUCUUGCUUAGGACUGCUUUUGCUAAUCUAGGUCUCUUCUGGUUCCGUACAAAUUUUAGGAUUGUUUUCUCUAGUUCUGUGAGGAGUGCUGUUGGUAUUUUGAUUGGUAUUACAUUAAAUCUGUGUAUCAGUUUUGGAAGUAUGACCAUUUUGACAAUGUCAGUUCUCCCUAUCCAGAAACAUAUCCUUCAAUUUUCUGAUGCUCUUUUCUAUCUCCUUUUUUAGAAUACUAUAGUUUUCAUUGUAAAGGUCUUUUAUUUUCUUGGUUAGGUUACUUAAGUACUUAAUUUUUCUUGAUGAUACUGUGAAUGGUAGUGUUUUUCAAAUUUCUUUCUUGGUGAGUUCAUUAUUUUUUUAGAGAACAUUUGAUUUUUACAUGUUGUUACAUUGCUAAAUUUGGUUAUUCUAGGAGUCUUGGUAGAAUGUCUUGGUCUUUUAUGUAAAGGAUCAUGUCAUCUGCAAAUAAUGAUAAUUUUACUUCCUCUUUUCUUAUAUGUAUCCCUUUUCUUUUGCCUGACUGCUCUGAUGUUUUGAGUAGACAUUCCUUGUUUAAUGACCAAGUUAUGUUCCUGCAAUUGGGUUAGUAAAUGAAUUGGUCGUACCAAAUGAGGAAUAUAAUGUAUGUAUUAUAUAGUAUUACACAAUAUUCAGAACAAAG
ensembl:lncRNA